rnacentral:piRNA from 1 species
UGCAAUAAUGCAAAUACAUUCAUAGCAC